AAGAAGCUAUGAGAUUGCUGUAGGGCUGUCGUCCAAACUGAACACCUGAUGCAAGGAGGCCUUGUUACUCUCUGACAGUUCUUUGUUUGGCAUGAGUGAACUAGAACUCAAUGACCAACAAGAUGCCCACAGUAAGGGUCUGUGCUCUGAUGAGACGGGCUGCAAUCAAGCUUUUGAUGAGGUCUGCAAUGUCCAGAUUGCCACCAUUGCCACCGUGAUCUCUCAUCUUCCCAGACACAGCAACAUGGCCACCAUCAUGGACUGUGGACAAAGCAAGGGACUUUAUGUUUCUGGUGCAGAAGAUCCCACUGCAUGCCAGAUUUGUGUCUCCUGCCAAAAGAAUUUGUAACUCCU